AGUUCAAUUCGUGAACUAUAUUGAGUAUUUAAUUUUUGACGAUUAAUACUCUAGUCAUUACAGUAAAUAAUUAAAAACAAUAAAAAUUUUUGUUAUAACUAUAUUAAUUACAUUUUUAUAAUAACCCUUACACGUACUUAACACGAAAACAAUGAUUCUCCUAGAUAGUUCUUUCAAAUUUUUCAAACCUAUUUCUAACAAGAACCCAAUAUGAUUCUUCUCCCUUUUUCGCUUAAUAUAUUCUUUACAUAAAUUUAAAGUACGUCAAUAUUAAAUUACCAAAAAGAAAACAUGAAAAAGAGCCGAGUAAAACAACUUAAUGUUAGUACAUCACAGCAUGAUUUUUUAGUAAAACCUUAUGGAUUUUGUUGUGAUAUCAAAGACUACGACCCAAAAUUAUUCUCAUUAAAAGAAGAGCCCGAGCCACUUUUUCCUUCAAGCGGUCCACUCGAAGGAGGACCUGAUAUUAAAUUCCGCCUUCAAGAACAUGACGACAUCCAAUCUUUCAGACAACGAAGUAUCCAAAGAAAUGCUCAACGAGGUGGACUUCGGAGUAAAUAUCGAAGUGGUCAACAAGUUAUUUGGGGCAACCAGUCGUAUGCCCAACCGUAUCGACGUCGUAGGUACCGGACCCCCAGACUUGAGGGUACUGUAAAAGUCCCUGAAGAUAGAACCCAAGGUAGAACCCCAGAUAGAGGUAGAGACAUUGAAACUUUGGGUGAAUUAAUGAUAUGUAAACGAUGCAGAGGACCUCUCCGAUGGUAUUUAGAAGACGAAAUAGCAGCUGCUCGUGACAUUAUGAUGAAGAGAAAGCAAGAAAUAUACAAGGCAGAAAUGGAAAAGAACAUUAAAAUUGCUAAACAGAAAGAAAAUAGAAGACGACGAAGAAGGAAGAAAAAAUUAAGCAAAUUUUAUGAGGAUACAUUCAAAGGAGAUAUAUUUAUAUAGAGAAGAUACAUGUGAAGACAAAUAAAAAGAUAUAACAUAAAAGAAAGAACCUAAUAUAACAUUUUAUGUAAUAGAAAUGUUUACAUAAUCUCAUGUUUAUUAGAGAAUGAAAUACUAUGAAUACAUUAUGCAAAAAUUACAUGAG